rnacentral:rRNA from 1 species
AGCAUGUGGUUUAAUUCGAAGCAACGCGAAGAACCUUACCAGGCCUUGACAUGCAGAGAACUUUCCAGAGAUGGAUUGGUGCCUUCGGGAACUCUGACACAGGUGCUGCAUGGCUGUCGUCAGCUCGUGUCGUGAGAUGUUGGGUUAAGUCCCGCAACGAGCGCAACCCUUGUGUUUAGUUGCAAACAGGUCAAGCUGUGCACUCUAGACAGACUGCCGUGGACAACACGGAGGAAGGUGGGGAUGACGUCAAAUCAUCAUGCCCCUUAUGACCUGGGCUACAAACGUGAUACAAUGGCCGGUACAAAGGGUUGCGAAGCCGUGAGGUGGAGCGAAUACUCAAAAAGCCGGCCUCAGUUCGGAUUGGAGGCUGCAACUCGCCUCCAUGAAGUCGGAAUCGCUAGUAACCGCAGAUCAGCUACGUUGCGGUGAAUACGUUCCCGGGCCUU